CAGGGAUGAAGAGAAGAUGGCUACUGGAUGUUCUCUGGACUGGAUCCUGUAUCAGCAGCAGCAGUGGAAGAUCCAUUUUAGAUCUGGCUAUCAUCAAUAUCAUUUAUUAAUAUCAGAAUACAGACCUUUAGACUAAUGUGAGGAGUGUUGUCCAGUGUUCCUCAGCCCCUUCUGGACAGGUACAUAAUGGGACACUUCACGUUUCCUCAGUCCCUUCUGGACAGGUACAUAAUGGGACACUUCACGUUUCCUCAGUCCCUUCUGGACAGGUACAUAAUGGGACACUUCACGUUUCCUCAGCCCCUUCUAGACAGGUACAUAAUGGGACACUUCACGUUUCCUCAGUCCCUUCUGGACAGGUACAUAAUGG
ensembl:lncRNA